AACGCGAAGAACCUUACCAGGCCUUGACAUGGGGAGUAUGGAUCGCAGAAACGCAAUCCUUCAGUUUGGCUGGCUCCCACACAGGUGCUGCAUGGCUGUCGUCAGCUCGUGUCGUGAGAUGUUGGGUUAAGUCCCGCAACGAGCGCAACCCUCAUCCUUAGUUGCCAUCAGGUCAAGCUGGGAACUCUAAGGAAACUGCCGGUGAUAAGCCGGAGGAAGGUGGGGAUGACGUCAAGUCUUCAUGGCCCUUACGGCCUGGGCCACACACGUGCUACAAUGGCGGUGACAAUGGGCAGCCAACCCGCAAGGGUGCGCUAAUCUCCAAAAACCGUCUCAGUUCGGAUUGCACUCUGCAACUCGAGUGCAUGAAGCUGGAAUCGCUAGUAAUCGUAGAUCAGCACGCUACGGUGAAUACGUUCCCGGGCCUUGUACACACCGAGACGUA
rnacentral:rRNA from 1 species